rnacentral:rRNA from 1 species
GACGAACGCUGGCGGCGUGCCUAAUACAUGCAAGUAGGACGCAGUUGCGAACGGGUGAGUAACGCGUACGUAACUACCUAUUAGAGGGGGAUAACUAUUGGAAACGAUAGCUAAUACCGCAUACUAGUUGAUUGACCUGCGGUGUAUUAGCUAGUGGGUAGGGUAAUGGCCUACCUAGGCAACGAUACAUAGCCGACCUUGGAGGGUGACCGGCCAAACAGGGACUGGGACACGGCCCAGACUCCUACGGGAGGCAGCAGUAGGGAAUCUUCGGAAAUGGGGGGAACCCUGACGGAGCAACGCCGCGGGAGUGAAGAAGGGUUUCGGAUCGUAAAGCUCUGUUGGUAGGGACGCGGUACUUAACCAGAAAGGGACGGCUAACUACGUGCCAGCAGCCGCGGUAAUAC